AUACUGGGGGGGCAAGCGUUGUUCGGAUUUACUGGGCGUAAAGAGCUCGUAGGCGGCUUGUUUAGUCGGACGUGAAAUCCCUCGGCUCAACUGAGGAACUGCGUCCGAUACUGGCAGGCUUGAAUCCGGGAGAGGGAUGCGGAAUUCCAGGUGUAGCGGUGAAAUGCGUAGAUAUCUGGAGGAACACCGGUGGCGAAGGCGGCAUCCUGGACCGGUAUUGACGCUGAGGAGCGAAAGCCAGGGUAGCAAACGGGAUUAGAAACCCCAGUAGUCC
rnacentral:rRNA from 1 species